rnacentral:rRNA from 1 species
AGAGUUUGAUCAUGGCUCAGAACGAACGCUGGCGGCAGGCUUAAUACAUGCAAGUCGAACGGGCGUAGCAAUACGUCAGUGGCAGACGGGUGAGUAACGCGUGGGAACGUACCCCUCGGUUCGGAAUAACUCAGGGAAACUUGAGCUAAUACCGGAUACGGCUGAGAGGCGAAAGAUUUAUCGCCGAGGGAUCGGCCCGCGUCCGAUUAGCUAGUUGGUGAGGUAAUGGCUCACCAAGGCGACGAUCGGUAGCUGGUCUGAGAGGAUGAUCAGCCACAUUGGGACUGAGACACGGCCCAAACUCCUACGGGAGGCAGCAGUAGGGAAUAUUGGACAAUGGGCGAAAGCCUGAUCCAGCCAUGCCGCGUGAGUGAUGAAGGCCUUAGGGUUGUAAAGCUCUUUCGUCAGGGACGAUAAUGACGGUACCUGAAGAAGAAGCCCCGGCUAACUUCGUGCCAGCAGCCGCGGUAAUACGAAGGGGGCUAGCGUUGUUCGGAAUCACUGGGCGUAAAGCGCAUGUAGGCGGGUCUUUAAGUCGGGGGUGAAAUGCCAAGGCUCAACCUUGGAACUGCCUUUGAUACUGGAGACCUUGAGUCCGGGAGAGGUGAGUGGAACUGCGAGUGUAGAGGUGAAAUUCGUAGAUAUUCGCAAGAACACCAGUGGCGAAGGCGGCUCACUGGCCCGGUACUGACGCUGAGAUGCGAAAGCGUGGGGAGCAAACAGGAUUAGAUACCCCUGUAGUCC